rnacentral:tRNA from 1 species
GCCUGGGUAGCUCAGUUGGUUAAGCGUCUGACUACAGCUCAAGUCAUGAUCUCAUGGUUUUUGAGUUCGAGCCCCACCUCAGGCU